UUUCACUCGGAGCUUGCUCCACCGAAAGAAAAAGAGUGGCGAACGGGUGAGUAACACGUGGGUAACCUGCCCAUCAGAAGGGGAUAACACUUGGAAACAGGUGCUAAUACCGUAUAACACUAUUUUCCGCAUGGAAGAAAGUUGAAAGGCGCUUUUGCGUCACUGAUGGAUGGACCCGCGGUGCAUUAGCUAGUUGGUGAGGUAACGGCUCACCAAGGCAACGAUGCAUAGCCGACCUGAGAGGGUGAUCGGCCACACUGGGACUGAGACACGGCCCAGACUCCUACGGGAGGCAGCAGUAGGGAAUCUUCGGCAAUGGACGAAAGUCUGACCGAGCAACGCCGCGUGAGUGAAGAAGGUUUUCGGAUCGUAAAACUCUGUUGUUAGAGAAGAACAAGGAUGAGAGUAAAAUGUUCAUCCCUUGACGGUGUCUAACCAGAAAGCCACGGCUAACUACGUGCCAGCAGCCGCGGUAAUACGUACGUGGCAAGCGUUGUCCGGAUUUAUUGGGCGUAAAGCGAGCGCAGGCGGUUUCUUAAGUCUGAUGUGAAAGCCCCCGGCUCACCGGGGAGGGUCAUUGGAAACUGGGAGACUUGAGUGCACAAUAGGAGAGUGGAAUUCCAUGUGUAGCGGUGAAAUGCGUAGAUCUAUGGAGGAACACCAGUGGCGAAAGCGGCUCUCUGGUCUGUAACUGACGCUGAGGCUCGAAAGCGUGGGGAGCGAACAGGAUUAGAUACCCGGGAAAUCAACCAAGA
rnacentral:rRNA from 1 species